CUACAAACCAAUCAACAUACAAAAGGAGGUAGAGAGAGGCUAGCUUCGUGUAAGAGACGAGGAAAUUUCUAGUUGGUUUAGAUGUGUGAGGUGAAAGUGAAAUGGGAGAGAAAGAGGCUAUUUUUUAAAUUUUGUUGGGCUUGGACAAGAUUCAACACAUUAAAGCACAGCUGCCAAUUAUUUUUUCUUCUUUAAUUUAUGUGUGGUUUAGGCGUAUUAGGUGAAACAGAAAGAGGUGAGAAAUAGGGUUUUUUCAACUUUUGUCAGUCACUUUGGACAGAUCAACGCAUAAAAAGCACAUGCUACCAAUUAUUUUUUCUUCUUUAGCUUAUGGGUUAUUGCAUUACCCCUCACUUUUGCUUGUAAUUACAAUAUCAUACAUCUUCAAAACAUUGAUAAAAUUGUAGCAAUGAACUUUCAACCUUAACCCAAUUAAAAUAAAAGUUUAUCAACUAAAAAUUUAUGAUUAUCGGUCCCUUAACUUAUUAAAACGUGAGUUAUAAUCUUUUUUAUCAUUUUUAUUAUAAUUCUGUCAAGAUGAAUUAUACUGAAACAACUAUUGAUACAAUUGAAUAAGAGUUGAAUGAUCAUUUCUAUAACUUUACGGGUUUAUGAAUCCGAAAGAUGUUUUUCUUAGAAAUUGCUAUUUUAAUUAUUUUAUAUGAUUUUUGUAUAUUAUUUAAAUGUUUUCUAAUUAGAUAUUUUAAAUAUUUUAUAUUAUUUUAUUUUGUGGCCCGUGGGGCCCACACCCCACUUCCCUUCCUUCGCCGUGUCAAUUCUCUUCCUAAUCUCUCGGGAACUCUCUGGAACACUCUCCCUCGUCUCUCUCCCUCCUCCCUCUGCAACAACAAGAGCGACCCGAGGCACCACCUUGCCUCGCCCCUCCGGCGAGCUUCACCGCCACCAACAACCAUCACUGUCUACCCUGCACCUCCCCGUUCCCCUCGUCCCGGUCUCUCUCCUCUUUGCUCGAGGCACAGCUGCAGCAAUGGCAGCCACCAUCGCCAUACAUCCCGGCGAGAUUUCACGGUGCUCCGACCUGGGAAAGCCUCGGGAUGCUUAAGGUUCUUUCAUUUUCGUCAUGGUGGUUUAAUUAUAACCUAGAGUUUGCGAUUUAAACGUCGGAUUUGCACAGGAACAGAGAAAGCAAGAAACUCAGUUUUCCGGCGAGGGUCCGACGGCUUUUGAGCCGUUUUAAGGCCACUUCCCGGCCACGGCAGGGCAAAAUGUUGGUCUAUUUCUAAUCCUCUCGUCCGUAGCUUCAAUUCGGUAUAUAAUAUGCCUAGGUUUUGUUAGGUUUUGGGGUUGAUCGGAGCUCGGGGAGCUCCAGCGUUCUUCUUCGUGGAGUCCUUUUAACUAAAUUUACAACGGACCCGUUAGUGAUAGAAUGGUGAAAUUCACUUACCUUGCGAUCCUUGACAUCUGCCUAACAAUGUGAAUGGCGCACGCACUACAAAUAAUGGAAAGCUUUCCAAAUUGAAAUUCAUGCCCCUUUCAAUGAGUGCCUAGGAACUAAUGGCAUUGAACAAGACAUGGAGAUAAGCAUAUUAAUUUUCAAUUCCUUGAAUCAAUGUUGUAUGACCAGGAUGGAUAGAAGGUUUGGCAUCUCGAUUGAACUUUAUGGGCAUGUUUGAUACGCAUGAUCGAUUUGGCUCGGACUAAUUGUAGGGAAUGGUUUGAAUUGGUUUGGCUUGGACUGAUUGUAGGGAACGGUUUGAAUUGGUUUGGCUCGGACUAAUUGUAGGGAAUUGUUUGAUACGCAAGUUCGAUUUUGAUAGCAGAUGAAAGCCAGACGCUGAAGCUUCGAUUUUGAUAACAGAUGAAAGCCAGACGUUGAAGCUAAAAGCGAGAUUCAUCAUUGUUGUUAGGUUUCCUUUCCUUGUGUCUCAAGUAGACCUGGCAUUUUGGACUCGACCCGUUCGACCCGUUUGGGGAUGCUUAACGGGUCGGAUCGCUAACGGAUGAACCCGUUAACAAUCUGUUAAAUAAUGUGUCACUUUGGGUCAACCUGUUAGCACCCGUUAUAAAUUAUAUUGGAAUGCUCCCUCAAGCCGCUUUGGGUCUUCCGCUCCCUCCACCAUCUCUCCUAAGAAAUCUCCUACCUCAAGCCGCUCCAGUUCCUCAUGCACCGCACCUCUUGCUCCGUGAUCCGCAGCAAUUAAAGAAAGCGCGGGUGAGGAAGAGGUGGCUGAAAAGUUCUCCUCACUUGUAGAGAAAGAUGCUUUAAAGGGAAGUGAUAAAUCCAUGGUUGGAAGAGAAACAUGCUUUGAAAUUUCUCACUUGCAGAGAGGAGCUCGAGAGUCUCCAGGAAGAGUUCCAGAACCAGAUGGAGGAGAAAUCCAAGUCGCAGCUCCUUGUCGUCAGCACCCUUUUAUACAUCAUUGCAGUUAAUGUGUAACUGUAUUGGAAUGCAAAAAAAAAAAAAAGAAACGGGUGUUAACGGGUGAUGUAUUAGAUUAACAGGUUGGGUUUGGAUGACCCGUUAACUUAAUGGGUUGGGUUUGGAUGAUUUAUUAGCUUAACAGGUUGGAUUGAACCCAACCCAAACCCGAUAAACUCGACCCGUUUACAGGUCUAGUCUCAAGUUAGGGGUUUGGAUUGGUUCUAUUGAGGCCUGUCAUUUUGGUCCUCAUUUGUUUGGUUCAAGCUAAGAUUGGUGUUACAUGUGCAGAAUAGUUUGUAAUA